rnacentral:lncRNA from 1 species
UCUAGUGCCGCAGCUUGCAAGGAAGGAAAGAGAAGGAACAUCUUGUGCUGUGCCUAUGCCCAAGCCUUGGGAGUGUUGGAGCGUUUCUAGGUGUUUUCUAUCUUUGAUUUCAAUGUUUAAAUUAAGUUAUCUUUGUGUAAUUGCGAGUAUGAGGAACUAAACCCCCCUUGGCUAGGGGGGGAUUCAAAACCAUGUUUAUGCUUGCUAUAUGAUUUGAUUACUUCCAAUUGCGUUUCAUGAAUUGUGAAUUUAAUUUACUUAUCUCUAUG